GUAGGCCCGGCUACGGCGUCGAAAGCGUCUCGGCGACCUUGCCAAGGUUGGGGUCGAGGGUUCGAAUCCCUUCGCCCGCUCCA
rnacentral:tRNA from 1 species